CUGCUCAGCCAGCUCCUGAUGGAGAACACAUGUAUGAAGAAGUUGGUCCCACUGAAGCAGGAGAGCAAGGAGGUACAUCUUGAUUGUGCACUGAACCAGAAAUAUUUGGUUGACUUCAACAAGAAAGAUAAAGACCAGCAACGUCCAGACCCAGCAUCAUCUGGUCUCAGAAAGUGCAAGAGAGCUGGAAUUGGACACACCCAAGUAAGAGAGCUUCCUGAAGAAUAAGUUGCUUUCUCAGGAGUCCCUGAUGACAAACAUCCUGAAUGAAAACAGCACCUGAGAGACAACUUGGGGGACGGCCUUUCAUUAUGUGUGCAAGAGGAGAAACAGCAAUACAUCUGUGCUUCUAAAUGUUCCUUAAGAAUGUGCUGUUUAGAAAUAUUUUUGUUAUGAUUUUAAUUGAAAUUUUCUUUUUGUUGUUUCAUAUUUGUAUG